CCUCACUCCCACGCCACCGUCUCCUCCUCUGGGCUUCUUCUCCUGCUCCUUUCAGAUCUGCCGUGUCUAGUGGUUCCUAAUUGAUUUUAUUUACGGCUGAUUCAACUUAAAAAAGAGAAAAUAGAAAAUGAGUAUGUACGGAAGGGAUCCCUGGGGCGGUCCGCUGGAGAUAAACGCGGCGGAUUCCGCCACUGACGAUGACCGGAGUAGAAAUCUUCAGGACCUUGACAGGGCUGCUCUGUCUAGGCCUUUGGACGAGACUCAACAGAGCUGGCUUCUUGGACCAACUGAGCAGAAGAAGAAGAAGAAAUACGUCGAUCUCGGUUGUAUCAUCGUUAGUCGCAAGAUCUUCGUCUGGACUGUCGGUACUCUUCUCGUUUCCGGCUUCUUGGC
rnacentral:misc_RNA from 1 species